rnacentral:tRNA from 1 species
GCGUGAGUGGCGGAAUUGGCAGACGCGCUGGAUUUAGGUUCCAGUGUCUUCGGACGUGAGGGUUCAAGUCCCUUCUCGCGCACCA